UACGGGGGGGGUAAGCGUUGUUCGGAAUUACUGGGCGUAAAGGGCUCGUAGGCGGCCAACUAAGUCAUACGUGAAAUCCCUCAGCUUAACUGGGGAACUGCGUGUGAUACUGGAUGGUUUGGAUUUGGGAGAGGGAUGCGGAAUUCCAGGUGUAGCGGUGAAAUGCGUAGAUAUUGGGAGGAACACCAGUGGCGAAGGCGGCUCGCUGGACCGGAACUGACGCUGAGGCGCGAAAGCGUGGGGAGCAAACAGG
rnacentral:rRNA from 1 species